rnacentral:snoRNA from 1 species
GCUUGAUGAUGUGUUGGAGGAGCAAACUGGUGGCACCCAAGGCUCUGUUCUGAAGCAG